AGUGCAUUUUGUGACAUUUUAGCCAACUAGCUAAUAUUCCCCAUUGAGGUAGCCAGACGAAUAUCAAGAUUCCCUAGUUUGUUCCGUGGAUUCGUUAUAAUGUCCGAUAAGGAAGCUGGGAUACUCCUUCCAACAACACGUCCAAGCCCAGCCAUGCUGUGGACGCCCACACAGCGUAGGUCAACUGUCUCUCCUUCAACCCCUACAGUGAAUUUAUCCUGGCCACUGGCUCUGCAGACAAGACCGUGGCUCUGUGGGACCUGCGUAACCUCAAACUGAAACUCCACUCGUUUUGAGUCUCACAAAGAUGAGAUCUUCCAGGUCCAGCCCCAUAACGAGACCAUCCUGGCGUCCAGUGGUACUGACAGGCGACUCAACGUGCCUCACUACAAUAGUGAUGCAGGAAGUAUUCACACUUAACUUUUUUCCACAUUUUGUUGUUACAGGCUGAAUUUAAAAUGUCUUAAAUUGAGAUGCUUUGUCACUAAUACUCCAUAUAGUGGAAUUACAGUACCAGUCUGAAGUUUGGACACACCUACUCAUUCAAGGGUUUUUCUUUAUUUUGACUAUUUUCUACAUUGUAGAAUAAUAAUGAAGACAUCAAAACUGUGAAAUAACACCCAUGGAAUCAUUUAGUAAGCAAAGUGUUAAAUCAAAAUAUAUUACAGAUUCUUCAAAGUGGCCACCCUUUGCCUUGAUGACAGCUUUGCACACACUUGGCAUUCUCUCAACCAGCUUCAUGAGGUAGUCACCUGGAAUGUAUUUCAAUUAACAGGUGUGCCUUGUUAAAAGUUAAUUUGUGGAAUUUCUUAUUAUUUCUUAUUAUACUCAUUGCUGUGUUUUUAUUUUGUAGUAAAAUAGGAGAGGAGCCGUCCGCAGAGGAUACAGAGGACGGCCCUCCUGAGCUGCUGGUGAGGUUUACAGUGAUGGCACCCUCCGAAGCUUUAAGUUCAGUUGAUGGAAAAACGUGUUAUUUUGAAAAGGAUUGGUUUGAUCAGGAGUUGAGCAGCAGCUAGGCCAGGGAGCAAUAGUGAGGUAAACACGGCCCAUUUAAAAGGUUUCCCAAACCUUCCCUAGUUCAUCCGGGGAGGACACACAGCCAAGAUCUCUGACUUCUCGUGGAACUCCAACGAGCCCUGGGUCAUCUGCUCUGUGUCUGAGGACAACAUCAUGCAAGUCUGGCAGAUGGUGAGACACACACACACACACACACACACACACACACACACACACACACGCACACACAUUCACGGUCUCACCACAACACAUGCACACGGUGUCCCAGGUUUACUCCCGCCACACCACCUCUGUCUCUCCCUCCAGGCUGAGAACAUUUAUAAUGAUGAGGGUCCAGAGGCAGGAGGAGACCAGGAAGUCACAGCCUGAGUGAACCAAUCAGGUGUGACUCCACCCCUUUCCCAAUCCAAAUACUCCACCUUCCUUUUGUACUCUGAACAAUAUCAUGUGGCACAAAAUGCUGCUAGCCAUUUCUCUUGGGGUUGUCCACCGACAAUGUACGCGUUCACCUGAAAUAUACACUCAUUCACUACUUCUCACAGAUCUAAAAGGAUUGGAUUGGUGGAGGUAUGGGAAUGUUCUACCAUAUUUCUUAUACCACUUAUUUCCUUUCAAAUCAGUGACAGGGAAUUUAACAAAGUGUAUACUUUGUGCGGAAGGUGAGAGAAUUGGGACGUAGCCAGAAACUACUUUUCCCUUGACUCAAAAGUUGAAAGUGUUACAGGAGCAAACUCCGCGCUUGCUCUAUCUCUCUACAUUGUAAAAUAGUAAUAUAUUGUCUAAGAAAAAUCUCUCUUCUAGAACUGGUUUUGUACUGUAAAAUAAAGAGUAUUUUUUUUAAUAGUCCCUCGAUUGCCCCCCACCCGUGGCGAUACGAUAAACUCCCAUUUUACUAAUUCUGUUAGAAGGGCCUUUUCCAUUGAAUAGGGUACAGCCAAUAGAGUGAGUCUCUGUCCCAUCACUUCUUCUUCUUCUUUUCUUCUUUAACAACAAGGCCUGUGGUUAAAAAGCUAAGUUGGUAUCCUCUCUACUAAACAAGUGUCUGUACCAACCAUUAUGCAGAAUGUCACAUUUACAUUCAAUAGGCCCAUGAAGCCAGAUAUUAUAUAUAUAUAUAUAUGGAAAUAUGUAUUUUUUAUCAUUUCGUGUUUGGUUGAAGUGUUUAGCUAGUCCUACGUGGAUGUGAUGUCUGUUUUUGCAUAUUGUAUAUGUCUUGUCAUCUUGCUCUCUCCUCUAUUUAGUUUUGC